rnacentral:rRNA from 1 species
AGCGAACGCUAGCGGCGGGCCUAACACAUGCAAGUCGAGCGGGGAGCUUCGGUUCCCAGCGGCGAACGGGUGAGUAACACGUAGGUAAUGUACCUUCUGGGUGGGGAACAACCGCGCGAAAGCGCGGCUAAUACCGCAUAUGUCCUUUGGGAUGAAAGCCUUCGGGCGCCAGUUGAGCAGCCUGCGGCCCAUUAUUUAUUCCUAGUUGGUAGGGUAACGGCCUACCAAGGGUACGAUGGGUAGCUGGCUGAGAGGGAUGAUCAGCCACACUGGAACUGAGACACGGUCCAGACUCCUACGGGAGGCAGCAGGUGGGAAUAUUGCGCAAUGGCGAAAGCCUGGCGCAGCCACGCCGCGUGAGUGAU